CAUGUGACCGAAGCUUGGCCAAGUAGACUCGCUACACCAGUGUUUUGGCCUUUCAGCAAGGAAAGAGGAAACGACUAGUGGCCCAACAGAAUAUAAUUCAAGUCACCAUCGCAAGCUACACAUACAACUUUGAAUUUUCUAAUAGCUACCAAACAAGGAUUCCAUACUCAAAGGAAAAAGUGUCUAAUAAGCUUAUGUCGGCUCAUAGGCCCAUCCCUUAAUCAAGAAAGGCAAGAGACUCUCUCCAGCAAGGUAAGUGCUCUCUGCAAGGCA
rnacentral:lncRNA from 12 species